GCCUGUUUAGCUCAAUUGGUAGAGCAUCGGUUUUGUAAACCGAGGGUUGUCGGUUCAAUUCCGAUAGCAGGCU
rnacentral:tRNA from 1 species